CCUACGGGAGGCAGCAGUGAGGAAUAUUGGUCAAUGGACGAGAGUCUGAACCAGCCAAGUAGCGUGAAGGAUGACGGAUCUAUGGUUUGUAAACUUCUUUUAUAUGGGAAUAAAGCGAGGAACGUGUUCCUUUUUGUAUGUACCUUAUGAAUAAGCAUCGGCUAACUCCGUGCCAGCAGCCGCGGUAAUACGGAGGAUGCGAGCGUUAUCCGGAUUUAUUGGGUUUAAAGGGUGCGUAGGUGGGUUAUUAAGUCAGUGGUGAAAGUUUGUGGCUCAACCAUAAAAUUGCAGUUGAUACUGGUUGUCUUGAGUAUAUUUGAGGUAGGCGGAAUGCGUGGUGUAGCGGUGAAAUGCAUAGAUAUCACGAAGAACCCCGAUUGCGAAGGCAGCUUACUAAACUGUAACUGACAUUGAUGCACGAAAGUGUGGGGAUCAAACAGGAUUAGAUACCCUAGUAGUC
rnacentral:rRNA from 1 species